AUUUUAUUUGAGCAAUAGUUUAUAAACAAAUAUAUAUUUUUUAAAGCUUUAGAAUAUUUUGUCGCACUAUGAUGUUGUUUAGCUUUCAAAAACAACCAGCUCUUUUAAUUGCAGCUUUGAUCCAAAAUAACAAAGCUAAAAAAUACCAGCUUGAAGUUUCGCAAAUUGAUGCCACAAAACACUUUUGAUGAAUAAAAAUUUUAGAGUUUGGACCAUAUCAAAGAGACUAUUUGUUGAAAGUAU